UAUGUCCCUACACAAACAACGUGAGAAAUUUUCAUCAAACAAAAUCGCGCAUCACAGAGUGAAAAUAACUCGUGUGUCCAUCCAUCACGCGUCAUAUUAAUGUAUCCGACCUUUAGUAUCAUGUCAAUGCUACUGCUAGUCUUCACAGUGGAAUAAAAGUGUAUUUGCGCUAUUAACAUCAAACCGUCAAAUAAUUCGAUAUUCGCAAUAAAACAAAAACGAUGGGUCCACUUACCGUCAGGGAAAUCCGAUAUACACGGUGGUCGUCUGGCGACUGACGUCCCACUAGUGCCUCAGAUUCCCGACGAAAUGCUGGAAAACUCAAUUAACUACGAACAACCAGAAGAUUUUUUCAUCGGCCGAUUCCGCCAGCAGCAUUAGCGGUAAUCUAUCAGUAGCGUUUUUUACAGGAGCUCGGAACAUUAAGACCAAUUGAGACUUUUCUAAACUCUAAAAUUGCACACAGUCGCACACAUACUGCAGUGCUGCCUCCGACGAAAUUUCCCUUUCCUCGAGGUUCUCUCUAGAUCCCUACGUACAAGAAUUACAAGUAAAAUAAAUAAAAUUACGUUAUGUAAUAUUAUGCCAGAUGUCAGCACUAUCAAAUAGCGGGAAAUUCGAUG